rnacentral:rRNA from 1 species
ACAAGGCGGUGGAUGAUGUGGAUUAAUUCGAUGCAACGCGAAAAACCUUACCUACCUUGACAUGCCAGGAACUUGCCAGAGAUGGCUUGGUGCUCGAAAGAGAACCUGGACACAGGUGCUGCAUGGCUGUCGUCAGCUCGUGUCGUGAGAUGUUGGGUUAAGUCCCGCAACGAGCGCAACCCUUGUCCAUUAGUUGCCACCAUUCAGUUGGGCACUCUAAUGAGACUGCCGGUGACAAACCGGAGGAAGGUGGGGAUGACGUCAAGUCCUCAUGGCCCUUAUGGUAGGGCUUCACACGUCAUACAAUGGUCGGUACAGAGGGUUGCCAACCCGCGAGGGGGAGCCAAUCCCACAAAGCCGAUCGUAGUCCGGAUUGGAGUCUGCAACUCGACUCCAUGAAGUCGGAAUCGCUAGUAAUCGUGGAUCAGCAUGUCACGGUGAAUACGUUCCCGGGUCUU